UCCACCUAGCCUCGAUCCCAGGCCGAGUUUUCGCUUUUAUAACGGUUAGGCGAACAACUGGGCCUGGUACUAGUUGUCUGCGCAUGCGUCAAUCGUUCGUCAGAUUCUGACGAAUGGAUAUUCUCGUUCACUUUCGUGACAUUUAUAUUCGUGUACUAUCGUGUACUAGAAGUCAGUUCCCGUUUUAUCAUUAUUGGAAUCGAUUGGAAUGGCUCUUAGCUGAAGCUUCUCUCUUCUCUGAAGCUUAUUCUGAAGACUGAACAACAAGGGAAGAGGUAUAAAGCUUUGUCAAGCUUGUUAAGGUCAGAUAUUUUUGUGUGGGCCCUAUGGCCGGCUAUGCUAUCAAGUCUUGUUCAUGUUUGGCAAGAAUGUAGGUAGACUAUAGUUUCAUCAUUAAUAUGGUGGAUCAAGUGAAGAGUGUGAGCUAGAGAACUUGGUGCUGCCAUCAUCAGCUCGUCGACAAUGACACUAUAACCGAGAAAUUUAAUAUGUAUAGAUCUACACGUAUUUAAAAUGUCUACUUCUCUGUACAGGAGCAAUGGCUAAUAUCCAGCUAUCCCAACAGUGCUCCUCUUGGCUAUACUAACGGACGAGACUGGACAGUUUGAGACACAGGACUGGAGUAUGACCUGCUCAUUCGAGCGUUGCUGGGUAGCUCAGAGACAUCAAGAGAAUCUACGUUUUCUCAAGCAAUGAGUUACGAGUUGGGGUCUAGAAUCAGAGAAGUCCAGCAGCCUGCUAAAUCUUUUUGAAACGUAAUUUGAAGGCAUUCAAUCAUCCUGAAGUUGCCCUGGAUCACUGUAAUUGUGCUGCAGCACAACUGGCAACUCCCCAGGCCUUUGUGAAGCAGCUCCCUAUGUGCAUCUUUUGUGUACUCACUCUGUGCAUUUUCUGUGUACAAAUUUCUAUUAUUGAUUUAUUAAAUAUUUUUGCCGACCACAAA